UAUAUCUCUAACUGACGAUAU
rnacentral:piRNA from 1 species